GAGCGAUCAUAAGGGAGCUGACUGCAAAUCUGCCGUCAUCGACUUCAAGGUUCGACUCGAGCAAUAGUGAGAAAACGUUGCCGCAGGCAACGGCCCGAAGGGUGAGGAGCUUUAGCUCCGAAUAAUCCUUCCCGCUAUAGAA
rnacentral:sRNA from 3 species